ensembl:misc_RNA 7SK 7SK RNA
GGGUGUGGAGGAAAUCUGGCUGCUUCGUCUGUUGCCGCAUUGGUCACCAGGGUUGAUUAGGCUGAUCUGGCUGGCUAGGCAAUGUCCCCUUCCUCUCUCACCACUCUCCAUUAGCAUCCUUCCUGAAGCUUUGUGCUCAGUUGAAGAGGACGACCUUCCUUGAUAAAGAAGGACUGUUCUUUGGUCAAGGGUAUAUGAAUAGCUGUAUUCUCUUGCUACUACAAACAAGUGAUUCUCUCUGUAUAGGGAGAAGAUUUACCCUUUGUCCUAUGCCAUUGGACAAAAG